CGGCCAGACUCCUACGGGAGGCAGCAGUGAGGAAUAUUGGUCAAUGGCCGAGAGGCUGAACCAGCCAAGUCGCGUGAGGGAAGACGGCCCUACGGGUUGUAAACCUCUUUUGUCGGGGAGCAAAGCGAACCACGUGUGGUUCAUUGAGAGUACCCGAAGAAAAAGCAUCGGCUAACUCCGUGCCAGCAGCCGCGGUAAUACGGAGGAUGCGAGCGUUAUCCGGAUUUAUUGGGUUUAAAGGGUGCGCAGGCGGAGGGGCAAGUCAGCGGUCAAAUUGCGGGGCUCAACCCCGGCCUGCCGUUGAAACUGGCGGCCUCGAGUGGGCGAGAAGUAUGCGGAAUGCGUGGUGUAGCGGUGAAAUGCAUAGAUAUCACGCAGAACUCCGAUUGCGAAGGCAGCAUACCGGCGCCCGACUGACGCUGAGGCACGAAAGCGUGGGUAUCGAACAGGAUUAGAUACCCUAGUA
rnacentral:rRNA from 1 species